rnacentral:lncRNA from 1 species
UAAUUAGGGGUUGAAUGAAUGGAUCUGUGCCGGGUGUGGAGUUGGUAUUUGAGAAUGGAAGUACAAAAGGGAGCAACGGCUGUGACUGGCUUAUGGUCACGAGAGUGGUAAAUAGAUGAUCACGGUCGCGGUUGUUUAUUGAUCAUAACCGUUGUGUUAAUCACAUUGCCGGUGUGAUUGACUUGUUGUCAUGAUCGUGGUCUAUUCAAUAUAUAAAAAUGGAUAGGGUUUUAGUAAAAAAAAAAAAAUAGAAUUCUC